GAAUGUUUAUUCAAGGAACAAUGGCAACAGAAUACCUCUCCCUUCUGGAUUAUGGAGGUGUGGCAAGGGUAAACAUUGAACCAACAAAUGUAGAUCAACAAGGGACAGACAAGGAGAAUGAAGGCUAAAGAAUCUGAAGAACACUGGAAAAUGAGACAUCUGAAGAAAAAGGACAAAUCAUCUAGAAAAAAAUGUCCCAAGCUAAGGAGUAAAUUGGCCUAUUGAUAUAUCAUCUAUAAAAUUUCAUAAGUCUUCCUAAA